rnacentral:rRNA from 1 species
AGACGAGGAGCUUGCUCCUCUGACGUUAGCGGCGGACGGGUGAGUAACACGUGGAUAACCUACCUAUAAGACUGGGAUAACUUCGGGAAACCGGAGCUAAUACCGGAUAAUAUAUUGAACCGCAUGGUUCAAUAGUGAAAGACGGUUUUGCUGUCACUUAUAGAUGGAUCCGCGCCGCAUUAGCUAGUUGGUAAGGUAACGGCUUACCAAGGCAACGAUGCGUAGCCGACCUGAGAGGGUGAUCGGCCACACUGGAACUGAGACACGGUCCAGACUCCUACGGGAGGCAGCAGUAGGGAAUCUUCCGCAAUGGGCGAAAGCCUGACGGAGCAACGCCGCGUGAGUGAUGAAGGUCUUCGGAUCGUAAAACUCUGUUAUUAGGGAAGAACAAAUGUGUAAGUAACUAUGCACGUCUUGACGGUACCUAAUCAGAAAGCCACGGCUAACUACGUGCCAGCAGCCGCGGUAAUACGUAGGUGGCAAGCGUUAUCCGGAAUUAUUGGGCGUAAAGCGCGCGUAGGCGGUUUUUUAAGUCUGAUGUGAAAGCCCACGGCUCAACCGUGGAGGGUCAUUGGAAACUGGAAAACUUGAGUGCAGAAGAGGAAAGUGGAAUUCCAUGUGUAGCGGUGAAAUGCGCAGAGAUAUGGAGGAACACCAGUGGCGAAGGCGACUUUCUGGUCUGUAACUGACGCUGAUGUGCGAAAGCGUGGGGAUCAAACAGGAUUAGA